rnacentral:rRNA from 1 species
UUAAGUUAUUAAGGGCGCACGGUGGAUGCCUUGGCACUAGAAGCCGAUGAAGGACGUUACUAACGACGAUAUGCUUUGGGGAGCUGUAAGUAAGCUUUGAUCCAGAGAUUUCCGAAUGGGGAAACCCAACAUGAGUUAUGUCAUGUUAUCGAUAUGUGAAUACAUAGCAUAUCAGAAGGCACACCCGGAGAACUGAAACAUCUUAGUACCCGGAGGAAGAGAAAGAAAAUUCGAUUCCCUUAGUAGCGGCGAGCGAAACGGGAAGAGCCCAAACCAACAAGCUUGCUUGUUGGGGUUGUAGGACACUCUAUACGGAGUUACAAAGGACGACAUUAGACGAAUCAUCUGGAAAGAUGAAUCAAAGAAGGUAAUAAUCCUGUAGUCGAAAAUGUUGUCUCUCUUGAGUGGAUCCUGAGUACGACGGAGCACGUGAAAUUCCGUCGGAAUCUGGGAGGACCAUCUCCUAAGGCUAAAUACUCUCUAGUGACCGAUAGUGAACCAGUACCGUGAGGGAAAGGUGAAAAGCACCCCGGAAGGGGAGUGAAAUAGAACCUGAAACCGUGUGCUUACAAGUAGUCAGAGCCCGUUAAUGGGUGAUGGCGUGCCUUUUGUAGAAUGAACCGGCGAGUUACGAUUUGAUGCAAGGUUAAGCAGUAAAUGUGGAGCCGUAGCGAAAGCGAGUCUGAAUAGGGCGUUUAGUAUUUGGUCGUAGACCCGAAACCAGGUGAUCUACCCUUGGUCAGGUUGAAGUUCAGGUAACACUGAAUGGAGGACCGAACCGACUUACGUUGAAAAGUGAGCGGAUGAACUGAGGGUAGCGGAGAAAUUCCAAUCGAACCUGGAGAUAGCUGGUUCUCUCCGAAAUAGCUUUAGGGCUAGCCUCAAGUGAUGAUUAUUGGAGGUAGAGCACUGUUUGGACGAGGGGCCCCUCUCGGGUUACCGAAUUCAGACAAACUCCGAAUGCCAAUUAAUUUAACUUGGGAGUCAGAACAUGGGUGAUAAGGUCCGUGUUCGAAAGGGAAACAGCCCAGACCACCAGCUAAGGUCCCAAAAUAUAUGUUAAGUGGAAAAGGAUGUGGCGUUGCCCAGACAACUAGGAUGUUGGCUUAGAAGCAGCCAUCAUUUAAAGAGUGCGUAAUAGCUCACUAGUCGAGUGACACUGCGCCGAAAAUGUACCGGGGCUAAACAUAUUACCGAAGCUGUGGAUUGUCCUUUGGACAAUGGUAGGAGAGCGUUCUAAGGGCGUUGAAGCAUGAUCGUAAAUGUGGAGCCGUAGCGAAAGCGAGUCUGAAUAGGGCGUUUAGUAUUUGGUCGUAGACCCGAAACCAGGUGAUCUACCCUUGGUCAGGUUGAAGUUCAGGUAACACUGAAUGGAGGACCGAACCGACUUACGUUGAAAAGUGAGCGGAUGAACUGAGGGUAGCGGAGAAAUUCCAAUCGAACCUGGAGAUAGCUGGUUCUCUCCGAAAUAGCUUUAGGGCUAGCCUCAAGUGAUGAUUAUUGGAGGUAGAGCACUGUUUGGACGAGGGGCCCCUCUCGGGUUACCGAAUUCAGACAAACUCCGAAUGCCAAUUAAUUUAACUUGGGAGUCAGAACAUGGGUGAUAAGGUCCGUGUUCGAAAGGGAAACAGCCCAGACCACCAGCUAAGGUCCCAAAAUAUAUGUUAAGUGGAAAAGGAUGUGGCGUUGCCCAGACAACUAGGAUGUUGGCUUAGAAGCAGCCAUCAUUUAAAGAGUGCGUAAUAGCUCACUAGUCGAGUGACACUGCGCCGAAAAUGUACCGGGGCUAAACAUAUUACCGAAGCUGUGGAUUGUACUUUGGACAAUGGUAGGAGAGCGUUCUAAGGGCGUUGAAGCAUGAUCGUAAGGACAUGUGGAGCGCUUAGAAGUGAGAAUGCCGGUGUGAGUAGCGAAAGACGGGUGAGAAUCCCGUCUACCGAUUGACUAAGGUUUCCAGAGGAAGGCUCGUCCGCUCUGGGUUAGUCGGGUCCUAAGCUGAGGCCGACAGGCGUAGGCGAUGGAUAACAGGUUGAUAUUCCUGUACCACCUAUAAUCGUUUUAAUCGAUGGGGGGACGCAGUAGGAUAGGCGAAGCGUGCGAUUGGAUUGCACGUCUAAGCAGUAAGGCUGAGUAUUAGGCAAAUCCGGUACUCAUUAAGGCUGAGCUGUGAUGGGGAGAAGACAUUGUGUCUUCGAGUCGUUGAUUUCACACUGCCGAGAAAAGCCUCUAGAUAGAAAAUAGGUGCCCGUACCGCAAACCGACACAGGUAGUCAAGAUGAGAAUUCUAAGGUGAGCGAGCGAACUCUCGUUAAGGAACUCGGCAAAAUGACCCCGUAACUUCGGGAGAAGGGGUGCUCUUUAGGGUUAACGCCCAGAAGAGCCGCAGUGAAUAGGCCCAAGCGACUGUUUAUCAAAAACACAGGUCUCUGCUAAACCGUAAGGUGAUGUAUAGGGGCUGACGCCUGCCCGGUGCUGGAAGGUUAAGAGGAGUGGUUAGCUU